UCGGAUAUGGUGUAACGGCUAACAUUAGCGCCUCUCAUCAAAAACGCGCUAGCUCGGGGUUCGAUUCCCCGUAUCCGAA